rnacentral:rRNA from 1 species
UGGCUCAGGAUGAACGCUGGCGGCGUGCCUAAUACAUGCAAGUCGAACGAGGUGCUUUUGUAGCAAUACGAAAGUAUCCUAGUGGCGAACGGGUGAGUAACGCGUUGGUGACCUACCCCAAAGUGUGGGAUAACAGUUCGAAAGAACUGCUAAUACCGCAUGUGGUUAUCGGAUUUAGAAACUGAUAACUAAAGGAGCAAUUCGCUUUGGGAGGGACCUGCGUCCCAUCAGCUAGUUGGUGAGGUAAUGGCUCACCAAGGCUACGACGGGUAGGGGACCUGAGAGGGUGACCCCCCCACAAUGGAACUGAAACACGGUCCAUACACCUACGGGUGGCAGCAGUAGGGAAUAUUGCACAAUGGGCGAAAGCUUGAUGCAGCAACGCCGCGUGUGCGAUGAAGGCCCUCGGGUCGUAAAGCACUUUUCUGAGAGAUGAGCAAGGACAGUAUCUCAGGAAUAAGUCUCGGCUAACUACGUG